GCCUUGGACACAGAGUCUUGCAUGAGACAGGUUAAUCUUCUCAAGCUGUGGAGACUAUGGUGUACAGAAACAGAAUAGAAGAGGGAAGGACAGAUCCCUGAAGAACCCAGACUGAGAACUAAAAAGCACAGGAAAAUAAAAACAAUUUAUGUACUAGUAACAGCAGGUGGCUGUUCUGGGAUUUCCAGGCUGUGUGACUGUGGUCUGGUCAUUCUUGCUGCUAACAUUCCACCCACAUCUAUGGCUGGCAUCUUCAAAGAUUGUGUGAUGUAACUGCCUUGGAUCUGUGGAGAAAGAUGGAGUAUGAAAUAAACAAACAAACAAAUAAAUAAAUAAAGUUGAAGAUGGG